ACGAACGCUGGCGGCGUGCUUAACACAUGCAAGUCGAACGGAAAGGCCCUGCUUUUGUGGGGUUCUCGAGUGGCGAACGGGGGAGUAACACGUGAGUAACCUGCCCUUGACUUUGGGGUAACUUCAGGAAACUGGGGCUAAUACCGGAUAGGAGCUCCUGCAGCAUGGUGGGGGUUGGAAAGUUCCGGCGGUUGGGGAUGGACUCGCGGCUUAUCAGCUUGUUGGUGGGGUAGUGGCUUACAAAGGCUUUGACGGGUAGCCGGCCUGAGAGGGUGACCGGGCACAUGGGUACUGAGAUACGGACCAGACUCCUACGGGAGGCAGUAGUGGGGAAUAUUGCACAGUGGGCGGAAGCCUGAUGCAGAAACGCCGCGUGCGGGAUGACGGCCUUCGGGGUGUAAACCGCUUUCGCCUGUGACGAAGCGUGAGUGACGGUAAUGGGUAAAGAAGCACCGGCUAACUACGUG
rnacentral:rRNA from 1 species